CCCAGGGCUUAGGGGAGGCCUUGGCUCAGAAAGCCUGGAAGCUGGGCUACCCGGCAAAAGUCACACUCACUCACACUCAUACAUACACACACUCACAUGCACUCUAUAGCCAAUACCUACGACUCUGCAGUCCCUACAAAUAAAAAAAGAAGCCUUGCUUUUUAGCCUUUCUGCCUCUACAGCUAAUGAACCGUUGCCUUCCACAGUGCUGGAGAUGAGGGAAGAAUGAAAAGCGUAAUUAACCUUCCCCUAAACACAGAUUUUUUUUUUUUUUUUUUUUUUUUUUUUUUUUUUUUUUUUGGCAAAACACAUCAAAAUACUGCAAGAAGACUGUGCUCCAAGUGCCAAAUGCAAUAAAGAAGCCCUAAGCCAGGGUAAUGGUCAAGUAAUGGCAAAUAAACCGCCUUCCUAGAAGGGGCCUCGGCCUCCAUUGGGAGAAGGAUUUUCCUCCUCAGAAGCCAUCUGAAAUAAACAAAUAAACGUAUUUUUUAAAACAAAGCUCUGUUUUCGUCUGAGUUUCUUAAGGAUGAAGGAAAACCCAAGUAGGUGGGCAUACAGAGAGUGAAUGCCUGAAUCUGGGUGUUGUGUUUGUUGUUGUCGGGAGGUUGUUUUGUUUUGUUUAUCUUAGGUACUGGGCUGACAAGGUGAGUAGUUUAAGGACGGGAGAAAGGGUUGGCAUCUACCUUUCCUACUUCAGGGCCUUUUUUUAAACAGAGAGCAAGUGUAGAAGCAACAAGUGCCCCCCUCCCCGCGGUCUUGCUAAUCGCAUCGCCUUUUGUGACUUUAUGAGACUUCUGGGGGGCCGGUAGCUAAGGGAGUUACUGGAUGCAACUCGUUCUCUGCUGUGACUGAAUUCCCGCGCGUUGUCACUUUGGGGAAGUAAGAUUGUAACUGAAGAAUUGCAACGCAGUGCUUCUGUCUGAGAAAGGCAGCUGCGGCAGCAACAGCUGGAGCAGUGCAAGCGGGAAUCUGAGGCUCAGUAAAAGUUUGUAAGAGUUGAGAUCUAGCUAUCGGAAAGCGGCAGCGGCAUCUUUAGGGACCCUGGGGACAAAAUAAAUGGGUCUCCCACCAGUUGAAUGACAAGUAUCAUCAGAUCGGAAACGAGGCUCAGUUUCUGGAUGUUGAGUGGACUGUGCGUGCAGGAAUAUUUUAAGACGGCAUCGUAUGUCUUGCUUGGCAAUUAAAAUAGUUUAAAAAGCUGCU